GUCAUGGGUCGAUGGUCUAAAAACUGACUAGAGUAAUUCUUCUCCGUGGUAUAUGUGUGUAGGUUGUCAAAAUAAGCUUCCUGCAAUUGGUCUUGGGUGGAGUGUGAAACAGUUCUGAACCAGCUACUAGGCAGGUAGUGACUUGGAUGGUAAUACAGUUACAUGAAAGGAGUACAAAUCCAUGACGUUCGCAUCCAGGUAGUAAACAAGGCAGUCCGGUUGGACAACAUUGUGCCUUGCAUUUUGAGAAAGACCCUAAAUGAUGUUCAGUUCAAAGGAUACACAAUUCCGGCAGGAUGGGGGUUGAUGGU